CAUUCAUUUUGGAUGGUUAUGCCAAUGACUGUCUUCGGCAUAACCAUUCAACUUGGAUGGUUAUGCCGUUGACUGUCUUCGGCAUAACCAUUCAG
rnacentral:miRNA from 1 species